rnacentral:rRNA from 1 species
GUCUAGAGGCUUCGGCAAUGGGGGAAACCCUGACCGAGCGACGCCGCGUGCGGGAUUGAAGGCGCUACGCGUCGUAAACCGCUGUCAGAGGGGAAGAAGACCCGAAUGGUGAAUUCGGGAGUGACGGUACCCUCGAAGGAAGCACCGGCUAACUCCGUGCCAGCAGCCGCGGUAAUACGGAGGGUGCAAGCGUUGUUCGGAUUUACUGGGCGUAAAGAGAGCGUAGGCGGCCGGUUAAGUCCGGUGUGAAAACUUCACCGCUCAACGGGAAGCUGUCACCGGAAACUGGUCGGCUGGAGUAUGGUAGAGGCAAGCGGAAUUCCUGGUGUAGCGGUGGAAUGUGUAGAUAUCAGGAAGAACAUCGGUGGCGAAGGCGGCUUGCUGGGCCAUUACUGACGCUGAGGCUCGAAAGCGUGGGGAGCAAACGGG